ACUGCUUUUCUGAGAGGCCAGGUGGCAGGAUGUGGGACGACUCCAGCUGACAAAGACAGUCUAACCGUGGGGUAGGGGCUGGAGCAGGGGCCAGCGACCCACGUCUACAUGCAUACUUCUCUUACACUGCUGCUACUGGAAAAGCUGAACCCCGCGCCAGGACCCCAGCCCCCUGCAAGGACCCGUGAGCGUCUGGGAAGCUGUCUCUGGGACUGAAGCCCCCCACCUCCGCCGGGCUGGCGGCCACUGCGGUACCCUACGCCCCGUCGGGCUGGUCCUGCACAAUUUGGGAAAAAGCCGCAGCGCUUCUGCAAGGUCUACGUGGCCAUGAGCAUGCAACGCUUGGCUCCAAAAAAGACACGAAAGGAGCAAAGCGCCAACGACCACCCGAUCGGAGGGCCCGAGGGGCGCCUCUUCACCAGUCAGCUGCAGCUUAAGUUCCGUGCAUUAUCUGAAAGGAACAGCUGGCUGGAGGUAUCCAGGGCUGUCACUCCAACCUCUGCAGCAGUGACCUCAACUCCCAGCACUUCAAAACCCAGACAGAAACGUCCAACAAACUCCCAGUCCAGGAGCGCUGCAAAACCAACGCCAGUUGUUUUUCUGCAGAAAAUCAUCAACUGUGGAGAAGAAGAAGGGAAAUAAGAAAGAAAGAAAACCCUAAAAACCACCCUGGCGCCCGGGCCCGCAGGCCUCGGGCCGGCUCUGAAAAGUUUGGGCUGUGCACGUGAUGAGCGCGUAGGCGGGAGCCCCAGACAGGACCCGGGCGGGCAUUUCGAGAAAAAGCAGCGGUGACAGCCUUUGGUCCCCAUCUCCAUUGUUCCUGCCAGCUCUGGACCCCAGGCUGCAUGAGACGUAGGUCCCAGGGGACACCCGACCCCGUGGCCCCAGUCUUAGGUAAACUUAGGAAUCAGAACAACACUCACCCCUAUGCCGCGCUUGCUCCAUUUCCCCUUGUCUAUUUCUGCUCACCAAGCAUCCAGCUGACAUUGCAUUCAAAGCAGCAUUUCAGCUUAGAAAUCGCUUCUAGUCCAUCACGGUGCUUGCCAUGUGUCUCCAAGGCUUUAUUAGGUGUGUUUUUAGUUGUCCUGAUAAUCAGUUCACCCCAGGGUGCUGAUGGCUGAUAAUACUGGCGCUUCCCUCCCUACCCCCAUGCGUUGCACAGGGAGGGUGAGUCAUGUGGAGAUGGAUGCAGCCCCCUGGGCAGUGGGGGUGCAGGUGCUGUGCAGGGAGGAGUCUUAGGGCGUUUUUACUGUCUUACUGCCCUCUAAGCACGGGACCCUUUGGAUCAUUUACUAGAUUGGCUAAACUAGAACCGGAUGGAAAUAUUCUGUACUAUGGUCCCCUUAAUUACAUUUAAGAAUACUUGUCAGGCCAUAUAUCACAGGUUUUUAAUUAGAAAAGUAUCCUCCUCUCGCCAGUAAGGACUUGCAGAGAUGGGGGUGGGGGCUGGAUGGAGGGUGGCACUUUUUUGGCAAAAAGAAGUUUGGAGCAGAGUGUCACUAGUGGCCUCUCUGAAGACUGGUCCUCGUCUUUUAAAACCGAUGGCUGGAAUUUCUUCCAGUUCCAAACCUCUUGUUAUUUGUCCUCUCUUCUUGUUCACAAAUGUGCUAUCAACAUUCAAACAAUGGAUAGUCAGCUAUCCAUUGUAAAUGGACCUUGCUGGAGUCCAGGGCUAGCAGAAAUGACAGGGUCUAAAAUGACAUUUAUCAAGUACUUGCUAUAUGCUUAUAUAUGCUUUUUAUAUGAAGGUUAAGAAGCUUGAGGCAUUUGCCCAGUUUCCACAACCAAAAGGGGCAGAGUCGCCAGUGGCAUUAAGCCUGUGUUACUCCAAAGCCCAUAAUGACCAGUCUUACUAGACCAUUCCUCUCAGGAAAGAUCCUGUGAGACAGGUACUCUUUUGGUGUCCUGUCUCCCAGCCUCUCAAAACAGCCAAACACGGACCUUAGACAGAAUGCGGCUUCAGAGGUAGAAGGGUCUUGGUUUCACCUUCAGGAAACCUCCUGGGUUUCAGUUGAGCUGGCAGAAGAAGAUCAUGUAUCUGAAAGACCCUGCAUGGAAUGUUAAUCCUCACACCACUCUCCUGCUGGUGCUCCUUUGUAAACAGAGUUGGCCUGUUUCCUCUCAUCUCUGGCUCCAUGACUUCAAUCCUCCUGCAGCUUCCACUGCCCCUAUCUGGCUCAUGUCUUGCUGUCUGGUGUCAUGAACUGGGAGUGCAGUAAAGAGGAGUGACAAGCCUGAGGGGCCACGUUCAUACCUGCCACUGCCAACUGUCCUGAUGUAACUGCUUUGUCAUCUUGCCUGCCAGGAUUUGUGACAAGUCUAGUUUGGGGUCUCUAUAAUCCUGCUCCUUUGGCUGCCAGCCAUCUCCAUAAAAAAAGAAUUUGAAAGGCUUCCAUUCUUUCAGAGACCUGUUUCCCGGGACUGGCUGCAAGGGAGAGAUGCACUGACCUUCUGCCAGGUAUAGAACUAUUGAAUGGUACAGUUUGAGAUCUUCGAAACCAUCAGGACUGAUCAUUUUCUGGCUACUUUCUACAUAGGAAUCCUAGAGUUCCUUGGAGAGGAUAUGAAGGUUAUUCUCAGGCCAUGCAGAUGGGCAAGAAAGGAUGUGCGUCCAUGGUUCCUCUUCAAAUCCAACCAAAACAGCCUUGCUUCCGUUGGCUUUAUAUAAUACUGCAACUCUUGAUAAUCUGAUUUAACACAAAUUUCCUCAUUGAGUUUCUCCUCAUGAAGAAACGGCCUCAGUGAGGUAAAUCGGAAUGCACAGGAGCACAUAGCAGGUUAGUGCAGACCAGAAAUCAAACCCAGGCUUUCUGACUGCUCAAUAGACCACAAUCUACCAUGCUACCAUGGAAACUUUAAAACAGAUGAAAGUAAAAACAAACAAACAACAACUUAAAAAAACAAAAACAAAAACAAAAGCAAAACCCAGAGCCUCUCUAGGAAAUACCAACGUGCUUUUGCCAAGUGGGGUUUCUCUCACUUCAUAAGAGCAGUAAACACUAAACCAAGGGAAUGUGAAUUUAGAGGUUAGAAAAGAUAACCAGAGAUUUGGCCGUGCGUGGGGCUCAUGCCUGUAAUCCCAGCACUUUGGGAGGCUGAGGCUGGUGGGUUGCCUGAGGUCAGGAGUUUGAGACCAGCCUGGCCAACAUAGUGAAACCCUGUCUCUACUAAAAAUACAAAAAUUAGCUGGGUGUGGUGGCGUGCACCUGUAAUCCCAGCUACUAGGGAGGCUGAGGCAGGAGAAUCGCUUGAACUGGAGAGGUGGAGGUUGCAGUGAGCCGAGAUGGUGCCAUUGCACUCCAGCCCGGGCAAGAAGAUUGAAAUUCCAUCUCAAAAAAAAAAAAAAAAGAAGAAGAAGAAGAAAAGAUGCCAGAGAUUUGGCGGGGUGCCGGGCUCAUGCCUGUAAUCCCAGCACUUUGGGAGGCCAAAUGGACAGAUCACUUAAAGUUAGGAGUUCCAGAAAAGAUGCCAGAGGUUGGGCCUUUACAUUGUUUUGUAAAUUCGUCAAACCUUAAUCUUAUUUAACUUCCCCACCUAUACAAAAAUUAAUGCAGUAAUUGCUUUUUAAGGAAGCAUUCCAAAGGCCAAAUAAUUCAUAUAUGUCAAGUACCCUGGGAUUCAGGAAAGAAAAAUUCUCUAUAGCUCUAAAGCAAGGAUUAUAAUUUGAGGUUUCCUGACAGUUUUUUUUAAGAAAAGAAAUACCAACCUUUCUUUUCUGGGCCAAAUGCCAAGGUAGGUAAUAACCCCUUGCCCAUUUUCUUUCCCCAAGCUGUUUUAACUAGAUAAGAGCUCUGCCUUCAUUUCCUUUUGUGAACUGACUUGGGAUGUUGCCACAUGCCCUUCAACUACUGUCAAUGCUCUAGUUUGCUGAGUGCUUUCCCCUUCAGAAUGGAAAAGGUUUUGGCAUAAAUAUCUAGCUUUCUUCAAGGUACAAAAUGCUUUCCAAGGAGCAGAGGACAGAGGGAACAAACUUUCAUGUUUCCCAAUUGUAUUAGUCUGUUCUCAUGCUGCUAAUAAAGACAUACCCAAGACUGUGUAAUUUAUAAAGGAAAAAGGUUUUACUGACUCACAGUUCCACAUGGCUGGGGAGGCCUCACAAUCAUGGUGGAAGAUGAAGGAAGAGCAAAGGGAUGUCUUCCAUGGCCAGCAAAAAGAGAAUGAAAGCCAAGGGAAGGAGAAAACACCUUAUAAAAUCAUCAGAUCUCAUGAGACUUAUUCACUACCAUGACAACGGUAUGGGUGAACUGCCCCCAUGAUUCAGUUAUCUCCCACCGGGUCCCUCCCACAAAAUGUGGGAAUUAUGGGAGCUACAAUUCAAGAUGAGAUUUGGGUGGGGACAGAGCCAAACCAUAGCACCAAUACUAGAUCCCUCAGCUUCAAGGUGGCUCCAGUGAUCCUAAGAGGAUCAAGGAAGCCCUACCUCCCUGCUUGUCCUGGAUGUCUCUGACACAUGUUAAGGGAAAAGCAUUAAUAAAGUGCUCAAGAAACAAUUGUUCAAUAGGUCAGUCUUAUAGUCAAUACCUCAUCCCAUGCUCUGUCCCCUACUCUUUGAAAAACUGCCCAAAGAAACAAUGGAUCCACGGAGUCACAAAAACAGGGCAUCCAGUGACCCUCCCCAUCUUACCAGCAAUGUGACUUUCCCACAGUAUAACGACAGCAGUGCCCAGAGCCCAAUACAAGCAGGGCUCUACACUGAGACAGAGCUGAGUUCUAGUAGCAACUACCCUCCUUAUAGCAGUGUUAUUUUAGGCAAGUUUCUCAGCUUCUGGAAGGUUCUUUUCUCAGGCUUACAUACUUUUUACCCGAAAAGAUCUUGGAGUCGUCCAUAUCAGCACAAGCAAUCUACAUUAUUAGUUUUUUUAAUGGCUGCACAGCAUUCCAUGAUAUGGCUGUACCAUUACUUAACUAUCGAUGAACAUUUAGGCAGUUUCCAGUCUCUUUCUGCAGGAGCCAAUGCUGCAAUGUGGUGGGUCAUAACUUU
rnacentral:lncRNA from 1 species